UUUUUUUUUGCUUAUCACCGGCGUACGCCACUACCACAAUGUUUUGUCGAUACCGUUCGUAUCUAUCCAAUUCUUCUUCUCACUUGGACGUUACCCAACAGCCGCAAGUUUCCUGUUGCUUCGGACCGCCAAUUCAAGAAAGCAAAGGGUGUUCUGUAGGAAGAUACCUUCCCAAGGUUUCCACGCCAUCACACACACACAUAUACACGCGGCUCGCGAGCUCGCUUCAGAAAAAACCAAAUCCUCUAUUCCUGCAUCGCCCGCAUCUGUUCGUCCCCCUCUGCGGCGGCGGUGGCGGUGGCGACGAUGGGGCUCGAGAUGGAGCCGAUGGCGGCGGCGAUCGGCGUCUCGGUGCCCGUGCUCCGCUUCCUGCUCUGCUUCGCGGCCACCAUACCCACGGGCCUCCUCUGGCGCGCCGUGCCGAGCGCCACGGGGCGGCACCUCUACGCGGGGCUCAGCGGCGCCGCGCUCUCCUACCUGUCCUUCGGGGCCACCUCCAACCUCCUCUUCGUCGGGCCCAUGGCGCUCGGUUACCUCUCCAUGCUCCUCUGCCGUCGCCGAGCUGGCCUCGUCACCUUCCUCGGCGCAUUCGGCUUCCUCAUCGCAUGGUGAAACCCUCCCUUCCAUCCUUGUCUACUGGGGUCAUAUAUACCGAUGCUUAGUUUCGGGUGAAUCAUGAAUGUUGGAUUCAUGGGUUUUCACGCCUUCAUUUUGGGUAGAACAGGGCAGGCAAUGUACAGCUAACAGCAGCUUGUUCGACUAGGAAACCAGAGGAAUUGUAAGCGGAUCUGCAGAUGUGGCCGAGCCAGAGCUUUGGGUCAUCACAGGGUUAAACAGUAGUUUAUUCUAUUGGAAAACCACGGGAAUCGUAAGUGGGCAUGGAGCUUUUGAUGCUUCUGAUAUGGUUGGAACCGCAGCAUGGACGAUUUCAUGUUGGAGCUGAUUGAAAUGAUUUUCAACUUUUCUCUGUCUAGCCACGUGGUGCUAUUUAUGAUUAAUAGUUUCAAGGUGAAAAUGAGAUCUUGUAUUAUCUCAGGAUGAAUUUUCUUCUAUGCUUGCAAAAUUUUGGACGUCUGAUCUCGUAAAGAUUGCAAUGAAUACAUAUAAUGUGAUUGUUGAGAUUUUACCUAAGUACCUUAGCAGUUCCUAUUGGAGAAUUUAUUGGUUGUGUGCUCAUGAAGCAUCAGGGCACCACUUGUUAGUCACGUGAAUCAGUUUUUUCUUCUCUUGAAAUGUUAAGUCUGUUUUGGCGGUACUAUGAUGCGAUUUAUGAUCUGUCACACUGAGGGGUUGAAUUAAUAUGACCUAUGUUUACUUGGAAAGAAAUUAAGGGAAGGGAGAAAAUAUUUCCCAUCCAAAUAUCCCUGACAAAGACUCCAUCCAGAUAAUGGAUGCUGUUUGGUUCACUUAGAAGUUAUUUAUUCUAUCUGGAGCCAUCCAAACCCACAUAAAUUUUCAACAACUUAAUUAAUAUUCAGGCACACCAUCUCUGAAGAUGAUUAUUCCAUAACCAACACACAGGCUUGACAUUAGUGAUGUUUUAUUCACCUUGAAAACUUAUAGUUGAGUAUUUAAAACUGACUCAAUGAAGUAUGAAUGCAGGCAUUGCCGUAUUCCUGUUCAUUAUCAUUGACAUCGAUGUUCUGUUCCAUAAGGCUCUGACUGAAAUUUACUGUAAAUAGAAAGGUGCAGCUAUUCUUUUAUUUCCUAGUUACUAGUGUGAAUCAGUGACAACGAAUGUUGAGUGGUAAUUCUAGUUACGUUCUCGUCAAUAUUGAUGCCCCCUCACCAUCCUCUUCAACUUCAUUCUCUCGUAUGGUGCAGUUAAUUUUUGUGUUCACUACCUAGAAGUUUAAAUUAGCGGCCACAAGUGUCUGAGUAGUCAUUCUAAUUUGGUUCCUGUUUCAUUCCCUACUGAAACAAACAAGUUACGGAUUAUAUCAAUUUGCCCAUCUUUCACAUGGAGUAAAGUAUCCACUUUGUCUACAUAGCCUGUGUUGGACCAGGCACCCAUAUAGAUUAUCUAGAUCCAAAAUCAUGACCUUUAAAAUACGCUAAUCACACACUCAUUCUUUCCAUUUGUAGAAACUCUUUAUUUGGCAACUGUUGUAUAUCAUCGAGACAACAUAAAAAUAACAAACACUUAACAAUAGGUCUAGUUCAACAGGCAGCCAUUGUGGUAGCAAACUUUCUUCACUUAGCUGUUGAAGAUAAUGGUGCGUCUGUUUAAUUCUUUAAAUGUGUAAUUGAUUCAAAAAUAAUAAUAAUCCACGGAUGCAAUCCGGUCGUUCAUUCGUAAUGUUGCAAUGUAAUAUUAAUAUAGACAAAAGGCUUGUGUAUUCUAAACAUAAAAUGUUUCCCACCUGCUAGCACUAGCACCGUCAUUCUGCUAGAUCAAAUUAUGCUAAUACCAGCAGGCUUCCUUGGGGACAUGUCAAUCUCUUUAUCCCACACCAUAAGCUAGUUUUAGAGCACUAUUGGAUAGGAAGUCCAUCAGAAGCGGACUAAGAAGAAAGCUUAUUCGAAAAAAGGGCAGUAGAUUCUACCGCCAUGCACUACUGAGAAGAUUAGCCGCAAAGCACCAAAAUCCUAAGUAUCUUCUCGACAUGAUCAACGCCUGUCUUCUUUUUGUUGGUUCUGCUACAAUACCAACUGUGGCACUAAUAUUUUUGGUUGUUGCAGUCACUUGCCUGUUUCAUCUGUGGUAUCCUAAGUCUUUUCUCUUCUCCGAAUUUCUGCUCUUUAACGAAUGGCUAUGAGUCCUGGUCUCGCCUAUGUGAUAUUUUUCUAGCGUUUUCCCUUUUUACACGAACAUAGGUAUUAGCCAACUUAUUCCGAGCACUAUUCGUUUUAAUGUUCAAACCAGCUUUGACACGUAGUCUACAUACAUGAAGGAUAAAGUGGUUAUAUAUUGUCGGCUAGUUCUUCGCUAUUCAAUAUUGUGUUUGCUACUGUUUCCUUUUUGGCCCCAUAAGAAGGGUGCCCUUCUAUUCCAUAUGCAAAAUUUUGAAGUGGAAUGAACCAGCUACCUAAGUUGGAGACUCAAGAAGUAAAUUAUUUUUAGCCAUGGACAGUGGUGCGUGGGAGUUAGCUAUCUACGUGCCAGAACCAUGACUUGGUUUCGAUGUCUUAUGGGUUUCAACUCUAGUCUAACCCAACUUGUUACUUUAGGCCAAUUUGUUAUGAUGGAUAAGCUGGCGAACAAUUUGGUGCUGAAUUUUACAAUUUUACACUGUGGAUGUAUUUAAGUUUACCCUCAUACUACAUACAAAUUAACAAAUCAGAGUUACUUACAUAUUUUCUUUUUGUUGUAUAGUCAUGUCUACUACAUGAGUGGGGACGCGUGGAAGGAGGGAGGCAUCGACGCAACUGGUAUUGUAUAAUGUUUUAUUGUUGCUUGUGCUUAUUUAAAGUUAAACUAGUGUUCACCAUGCAAUUUUUGAGUGCGCUUCCGACUUACAUAUAUGGAACAUGUUCAAGUUAUAAGAUAUAUUUUAAGAAUUUUGAACCCCUAAUAUUAUCUCAUGACAUUUUACCAUUUUUUCUUGUGUGGUCCUUGUAGCUAACAGUGUUUUUUUGGGAUAUUGUUUAGUAGUCAAAAUGAUACCUUCUACUGAGGGACAGGUGUACCGCCCCUCUUAUAAAUCUAACAGUAGUGAAAUAAUUGGACAUAGGUUAUAUUCAGGGAGUAACAUAAUCGAGUGUAUGCAGGUACAAAAUAAACCUUGUAGGCCAAACCUCAGCUCUUACUUGUGGUCAACCCUCUGCGAAUAACAUCAAGCCAUGUCCCUGUGCCUUCUCAUAAUUCCCUUUUUUGGUUGCAAUGCAGGUGCUUUGAUGGUUUUAACGUUGAAAGUCAUUUCAUGCUCAAUGAACUACAGUGAUGGUCUCUUGAAGGAAGAAGAGGGUCUACGUGAUGCUCAGAAGAAGUAUCGCUUGGCUAAGUUGCCUUCUCUAGUCGAAUAUUUUGGUUACUGCCUCUGCUGUGGCAGCCACUUUGCUGGACCAGUAUAUGAGAUGAAAGAUUACCUUGAAUGGACUGAAAGGAAAGGAGUAAGUAGCCUUUGUCUACUUUGGGUAGGUUUAUGCCAUGUUUUGCUUCAUCCUGAUUUUGUAUGAUCUAUAACAGAUAUGGGCCAGCUCAACUCCUUCACCAUUAUUACCUACUCUGCGUGCUCUAGUUCAGGCUGGAAUAUGCAUGGGGUUAUAUUUGUAUCUGUCACCUAUGUUUCCGCUUUCACGAUUUAGUGAACCUCUAUAUUAUGAAUGGGGUUUCUGGCACCGGCUCUUCUUUCAAUACAUGUCAGGAUUUACUGCUCGUUGGAAAUACUACUUUAUAUGGUCAAUCUCAGAAGCUGCAAUUAUUAUAUCUGGCCUGGGUUUCACUGGUUGGUCUGAUUCUUCUCCCCCAAAAGCCAAAUGGGAUCGUGCUAUAAAUGUUGAUAUUCUGGGCGUCGAGUUAGCUGGAAGUGCAGCUCAACUGCCACUUAAGUGGAAUAUUCAAGUGAGCACAUGGCUAAGAUACUGUAAGUUCUAUAUCUUGAUAUUCCAGUAGACCAUCAUUGUUAUUAACUUGCUUUGUUGGAUAAUAUAAUGCUUUCUCAUCAAAUUUUGGUGUUCUCUGUAUAAACUAGAAAGCACAAUAUGAAAGCAGAUUGAGGGUCCUUUACGCAUCACAUAGCAUCUAUUUUGCUUACCAGUUACCACUAUUAAGAUCUGUGCAAUCUAAGACUUGGAGAACAAGGAAGCACUAUCUUUAAUUCUGUAUUUAUUAAUUUCUCUAAAAGGUUCAGUAUUUUUCUGUGUCUCUACUAUGAAAAAUUAGUUGAUAGUACAUAAUGCGAGGUUUUGGGGGUCUGUAAAUUAAUUUUGUUGACCACUUGAUGAUUUUUUGGAACCUUUUGGUUGCCUGUUUUUGUAGUGUGGAUGAGAGAAGCAUGUAUGCCUGUAAUUCAUGAUCUUUAGCUGAUUUCAAAAACCUGUACAUGUACAUUAUGCACUCAUGUAUUAGUAGUAAUUUGUCUCAUCAUUGACUCCUUGAGAAAUGAUCAUCUGCUUGAAGUUUAUCUUUGUGCUAAGUAUGGUAUGCACCAAGCAGUUUGUUUUCGUGCAAAUGCCAUAAUUGGAGCAAUCAGCGAUGCACUUUGGUUAUACCUAUAUAAUGUAUUGAAUGCCAUACAUUCAAGCUAUGCUGUUAUCAGUUGCAUGAGCCAUUGCUCCACUAUUUUUUUCAGAUGUGUAUGAGAGGUUAAUUCAGAAAGGGAAGAAGCCUGGUUUCCUUCAGUUGUUGGGUACACAGACAGUCAGUGCUAUCUGGCAUGUGAGUUUUUCUUCCCCUCUUAUCAUUUAAUAGUUCCUGUUCACCGUAUAUCGGACUUGUCAUGUAGCAGAGCAUCCUGAAAUUUGUUGGACAAACAGUAGCUAAAUGAAACUAGAAUGCUCUAGGCCCCGCUUGGAAUGGGGGUAAUUUUAUACACCUGUAUUUAUUCUACAGGUGUAAGUUACAGGUCAACACUUAAGAUCAGCCUGAAAUGAAAACGACCAGAGGAGGUCCGUAUCUUAUACCGGCCAGAAAACGAGCGGAAACGCUAAUCCAAACAGGGCCCUAGUGGGAAUUUAGAGCUGCUAUUGUCCUGGUAGUGGAACCUUAGUACCUGCCUUUAGAAUGGAGGCACUAUGGGUCAUUGCAAACUCGAGUUUUCCCCAUGAUAAUAACUGGCUUCACUUGUGACAUAUUAAUAACCUUUUUCCUCAGCAAGCUGUUGCUUGUGAUGAUUGAUACUUAGCCAAUCCAGCAAGCUGUGGCUUGUGAUGAUUGAUACUUGGCCAAAUUUCAUAUUACUUGGUUUUUGUCCAUUGGUCUGAUUUUUUACCGUUCUACAGGGACUGUAUCCAGGAUAUAUGAUUUUCUUUGUUCAGUCGGCGUUGAUGAUAAAUGGUUCAAAAGGUAGCUCAAUCCCUCCCUUUCCUGACAUUUCUGAGGUGUACUUGAUUGAAAGCCGUGUGAGCUUGUAAUUCUGAUUUGGCUUCCUUUUUUUAUGCAGUUAUAUACAGAUGGCAACAAGCUGUGAGCAAUUCAGGCUUCCGCACUAUCCUGUCUUUACUAAAUUGUGCAUACACCAUGAUGGUGCUUAAUUACUCAUGCAUUGGCUUCCAGGUUAGUUUCAUGCCCCUGAAUCUGGCUAUACUUUACCCUGUAGAAACUGAAAACGCAAUCUGAUCAGAUCGCUUGUCUGUUAACCAAUAAUCUGUGCACCUAAAUUUCUCCCUUUGUUUUAUUAAUUUCUUAUCUUUGAUGAUUAUUAUGCAUAUACGGUUUUGCAAGUAUCAUUUAGGUUUCACUUGACCAAAAUGAUAUUAAUCGAACUGUAGCAAAGCCAGGUUGCUUCCCAAACUUAGUUUAGACAACUUAGAUCUGCAAGUGUUUUAGUUUCGUAGCAACGUUUCCAUUUGGAUCAUGAUGUGCCACCAGAAUAUCUGAAGAUUCUAGAAUGAGAGAAAUGUUUAUUUUCCCAUUACAAGCGCUCAGUUUGCUGAAUUGCCAUUGAACAAACGUACUUUGGUUAUUCGCCACUGCACAAACACAACUUCUUGCCAAUAUGCCAUCGCUGUUACCCUUCUGUUAAUUUUAGUGUGCUUCUGUUAAAUCUCAAAUAUCUGAAAUAUCUGUCACUAUUUUGUCUGAAUCCCCAAACUUCCCUGGCUUAAAGAGAAAAGAAAAUGGCUUACCUAUUCAGCGCCUGCUCCUGCACGCACACACCUGUUUCUUCUUGUUUCUCUCCCCCAUGGACGCACCAGUAGAGGAGAUGAUGGCAGGGCAGCUUCCGGCAGGCCUUCGCCCGCUCCUCCCGACGAGUCCACCCAGCUACCAUUCUGAUGUCUACCCUGACUCCUCUCCCCGCCCCCUCCCAAAUUACAGAAAACCUAGAGGGGAGGCUGUGGAUAACUGCAAGACCUCGGUGACAGCCUUCCCGUGAUCCCAUACGCAACAGGCAAGGAGGACUACUUGGUGGCGGCAGGCACCCCUUGUGGCCCUCACAGAGAGAGCCAGCGACGAGGUUGACAUGGGUCCGUGGUCCCUGGAUGCAAUUAGGAUACUGAAGGCGAGGUAGAAGAGGAACGAGGCAACGAUGGUGUUGUACUUGCCCCAGCAGCUGUCAGCGAGGAAGGUGCCAAGGAGGGGGACAUUGAAGGUGGUUCUGUUCCAGGUGUCGGCAAGCAGGGGUUCCGUGGAGCACGGUUCCGAGCUAGACCACCAGAUUCAGUUCGACUCCAUAACAGGCGAUCCUCUCCAGCAAACUCCAAACCUGCAGUCAGUCGCUGAUAUGAAUGGUGUCGUUCCUAGAUGCUAGAUGGAGAGGAAUCAAUGGAAUGGGUCGUCGUUGGUUAAUUGUGUAGAACGAUGACAGGGCCUGUCCAAAUGAACCGUUGUCAUCAUCAUCACAGCAGUUGAGGACGAAGGAGAUUAUAAUGCUUUGUCUGAUUCGAGUUUGGCCAUCUGCUGACAUUGCCAGCUCCGUGAGCUAAAACUAGCAGCGAGCAAGUCAAUCACCGAAGCUUGCGUCUAUCCACACCCAUAACUAGUAGUGUAUUACUAAUCCAGCUCACCUUAUAACUUACAUGCCUAUCUACUUUGUUUCCUUCUACCGUUAUGGCAUAUUGGCAAUAAGUUGUGCUUGUGUGAUGGCAAAUAAGCAAAGCACACUUGUUCAAUGGCAAUCCAGCAAACCGAGCGCGAGUAUUGAGCACUAGAGCUACUAGAGCAUUACUAGUACAAUUAAUGUUUUUUGUGCAGAAAGAAAGACGUGGGUUAAAUUCCUAACAUUCUUUUGUUCCUCCACAGUAGCUUCGAACCUACUCUAGUAUGUGGAACAUAUGCCUUUGUCAAUCAUCUUCCACAUAAAACAUACUAACAUUUACAAUGCUCUAUGCUUUUGUUUUCCUCAAGGUACUGAGCUUCCAGGAGACCUUAGCAUCCUACAAGAGCGUGUAUUAUGUUGGCACAAUCGUUCCUAUUCUAUGCGUCUUGCUGGGCUAUGUUAUCAAGCCCGCGAGACCUGUGAAGCCGAAGGCUCACAAGGCAGAGUGAGGAACAGAGCGAAUUGAUCUUUACAUAGAUGAGUUACGAAGCUUCAAUGAUGAUUAUGUCAAGAUAGUUUUCAGUUUACUUCCAUCUUUGUGAAACAAUAUCAAAUUUAGCCAAAAGGAUAAUGUGGUGGCUCCAUUGUAAUUGACCAAUCAUUAGAAACCUGUUGUUUCGUCGGGCUGAUCACCCAUUUGUUUUACCACACAUGCAACACAUGAUUUUUGGCCCUAAGCUGUAUGUUAUUCAUUUACCUUUUCUGCUUGGCUCUAUUCAAACUGAUGUAUAUUUUCGCACCUUCCCAUUGGCUCUGUAUGGAGGUGUGAACGCUAUUGCUGGUUCAUAGUCGUGUUGCAUCGUGCCGGGUCGGUAGCAGCUGGAGCUCCUAGAACAAACAUUCGUCUUUUGACUAUCUGCAGCACUCACUUUGAACGCAGUUUUGGUGCGAUGGCGGCUGAAGCUGAGGCCGGGAUCACAAGAAAGACAGACCUUGGUCAUAGACAACGAAUGAGUUGGAAUGUAUCUGACGCGUCUUUCUGCUCGGGUCAUAUAAAUGGUGCUAUAGCGGCGUGAAUCUAUGGGUGCUCCGGUCCGGUCCAAGUCCGACUUGCUGAUUGAUUGAUAUGCAGUGGCGGUGGUUCUGGCGCUGCUGGCCUCUCUCAUGUUUGUCCAAUUGUAAUUGUGCCGGGGCCACGGCAAGUGCAUAGUACAUGCAUGCAUGGCCUGAAAGUGCCCGCUUGGUGCUCUGCUCUUCUGACGCGACCACCAGAGGGCGGGCAGCGUAGUGUGCUACAGUGCUAUGCAGGAAAAGGGUCAGUGAUGCGACGUAGCGUGGCGUUGAUCAGGUCGUGGCCACGACUGCUGGCUGCCCUGGUCGGGUUCCAGUUGCAAUCAUGGUGAUGAUCUGAUCCCGCACUCGUUCUGGUGCGGCAUCACGAGCGGCGCAUGCUCCGCAGUAGUAGUACGGCAGGAAAUCUCCCCUUUCCCAUAGCAGACCAGAGAAGCAGCCGCUUCUUUAAAAAAUGCAUGAUUUUUAUUUUGAGCCCUGACCGUAGAACAAUCAUUCUACGGUAUUUUCAUUAAUAUAAAAUAAGAUUACAAAGUACAAAACUAUGUUACAAAAAAAUGCAUGAAUUUUGCUGCAGAAAGAGGUCGUUUUAGCUGCUACCACGUUCAAAGGAAUUUUUUUACUUGUAGCUAAUAUAUGUAAAUAUAUUCUGUCUCGAAUACAUGGAAGACAGAGCGCAGCCCAUCUUGCCCUUCAAUUGCUUUGGUCGCGCUACUGUUGCGUUACGCCCAUGAAUUCAAAGUCCGCGGCCCCGGUUGAGCACCUUGAAGAAAGCCUCUUCCGCGCAUGUCAAAACCAGCAUUGCUCUCGUCUGCUUGCUGUUGCGCCACGAGCCGUCCCGCGCACGCGCUCGCUUGUGUAGCAGGAGUCGUCUUCCACUCGGGCACCCGUUGCAGCGUGGCGUGGGCAUGGGACAUACCACCACCGAUCGGCCUUGCUGGUGACCCCGGAGACUAGCUUGGACGUGCAGAGCGCACGCCAGUACACAGGACAGUUUCGUCAUACUACUAGCAAUCAAUCGGCUGUCGUGGCCUGCCGGGCGGACGACACGAGGCUACGAGAGGGGUGUAUAGCGGGCAGCCUGAGCUUCGCAGCGUGCGUGCGUGCCUAUAAACGUUGCUGACAAAAGAAAAAUGUCACUAUAUGCGCGCGUGCUACGGAGGAGUGGCUGCCAGUUUCAGUUUGUCAUCAAUCAGCAGUCAGUUCACUGUGGGUUGUGCGUGCGUCUACCAGCUUUAACUAUAGCUUGGGGCAACGCUAGCUACAUGCCAUGCAUAUGCCAAAUGCCAGAGUCCAGAGCGUUUGUUACCCGACUGCCAGCAGCGGUCCCGUAAAAUGAGUCAAAUCCAUCACGCGCGCGCACUCGCGCCGCGCUGUGCAGCGGAGCCCCAUGCGAGUACGUCAGGUGGCGUCGACGACGGCGACCCCGUUCGUUUGGCGACUGUUGGAGAUGGAACCACCGUACGCGCGCCCGCCAUGCCCCUCCUGGACGUGCAGAGGACUCACCAAUUCUUGCGCCGCAUCCGUUGCACUUGCGCUGAUCGGGUCCCCCGGCCUGCCCCUGCCGCACCGGACGUCGGGUUACGAGCCGGCACGCUUGCGUUCGGAUGCGCUUUCCGUGGUCGAGGCUCCUCCCUCGCCUGUUUUGGCCUCUCGCGCCGUUCAGGGGUCAGUAGCGUAUACGUGGUAGGACUAGGGUUCCUACCGGCUCUACUCUUUAGAUUAUAAGGGCAGAACAAUAGAGGUUGAGGGCGAGGACGCGAGCUCCGUUGCGUCGGCACCGUCGCGAGGAAGGAGGAGGGCGGCGGCGGUUAGGGCUGGAGGCGGCUAGGGUUCCGGCUCCUUUGGGAGCCGGGCAAUAGGGAUAGAAAAUAUCUUUAUUGCUUAAUUCCAAAAAGAGUCUUGCAGCCUAUUUUUAUAACCUAGAUAAUUUGCAUAAGAAUUAACCUAAGAUAACUUGUGGGCUAAGAUUGCCCUGUGGGCCUAGCUAAACCGGCCAUAACACUUCUCCCCGCCUGCACAAACAGCUCGUCCUCGAGCUGUAAGGUGGGGAAGCGCUUGCGGAAUUCCUCGAGGCGAUCAACCAGCGUCAAACACCUUCUCGACAGCUGGGGCGGCCAGGUCGGCGGCGACGGCGUCCUCCGGAAUGUAGUUUGCAACAUCCAGGUAGAAGAGUCGCGGGCACGCGUGGCCGGGCGUGUAGGGCUCGUCGCAGUUGAAGCACAACCCUUGGCGGCGACGCUCGAGUAUCUCGGCUGAGGUGAGCUGGCGGAACGGGCGCUCCGCGGUCGCGGCGAGGGGUGCCGCAGAAGCCUGCGCAGGCCGACCCUGCGCGGAAUCCGGCCCGGGUAGCGACCCAGCGGUCCGGGACGGUGAUUCCUGCUGGAUGGCCACCGCGCGGCGCUCGAACACGCGGGCGUAGUACAUGGCCGACUGGAGAUCCUGGGGUCCCCGAAGCUCCACGUCCACAUGGAUGUGAUCCGGAAGUCCACCGACAAAGAGGUCGGCUCGCUGCUGCGCCGUUACGCCCGACGCAUGGCACGCCAAGGCUUGGAAGCGGUCGGCGAAGUCCUGCACCGUAGAGGUGAAGGGAAGGUGGCCGAGCUCCGACAGGCGGUUCCCGUGAACCGGGGGCCCAAAGCGGAGGAGGCAGAGCUCGCGGAAGCGCUCCCAAGAAGGCAUGGCACCCUCGUCCUGCUCGAGAGCGUAGUACCACGUCUGUGCCGCGCCGCGGAGGUGAUAAGAGGCAAGCCAGGUCCGCUCCGAAGCGAGUGUGCGCUGCCCGCGAAAGAACUGGCCGCACUAGUUGAGCCAGUUGAGGGGGUCCUCCGUGCCGUCAUAAGUGGCGAAGUCGAUCUUGGCGAACCGCGGCGGUGCCUGGGAGGGAACGCCGUGUCGAGCUGGCUCGGAGGUGCGGAGCAGCGAGGAGGGUGGUGCUUGGUCGGAGUACUCCGGGUAGGGACCCGCGGAACCGGAGGGCCCCCCGAACUGCGGAAACGGAGUCGGCUGUUCGGGGGCUGUGGUGUAGACCGGCGAUGGCGAAGACCCAGCCGCCCACGCUGGAAGUGGCGACGGGGAGGGCGCGAACCGGACCUGAUGAAUCGGGAGGCCGGUCGGCGAGGGUGCCCCCGAGCUAGGCAGGGGUGGCGCCGAUGGUUGUAGCGUCGGCGGCGGAGGGUGGGCGGUGGCGUCGGUGGCCGCGGGGGACGGUGGCUGCAAGUAUCACAGAGGGGCCGCGACCGGCGUGGUCCCGCCGAAGUGUCCCGCCCGGGACGGUUGCAGCGGCAGCCCGGUGCAAGCCGGCGCGGUUGUCCCCGAGCUGAUCAAGGACGGUGAGGGCGCGGAGAACGGCUGCGGCGGUCCGGUGGCCGCCGCCUGCGGCAUCUGCUGUAGCGGCCAGGGGGCCGCUGAUGGCGUCGGCGCGAAGGGCCAGAGGGGCGCCGCGGCAGCCGGAGGGCCGCCCGGUGGAGCUGCCUGGAACGGCAGCAUCAGGGGAGCGCCGUACGGAGAAACACCCUGGAGCGGCCACGACGUGUGGCCGUAGGCAGCAACGGGCGCCGUCGGCAGGGGCAUGUAGGGCCCGGCCGCGUACUGCUGCUGCUGCAGGUGGAGGCUCUGGACGGCGGUCACGAGAUCCCGCAGGGUGGCCGUGACCUGCUCCGGUGUGAAGACGGCGGACGGCGGUGGCGCGGAGGGGACCGGGGAGGGCGGCGCGGAGGGGCCCGGUGGAGACGUGGCCCGCCAACGCGGUUAUCCCGGCGGCGGACGUCAUCGGCGCGGUGAGGGGCGGCGCCGUCGUCAUCGGAGCGGUGGAGCCGCUGGACAACGUCGGCGAUGGUGGUGGCUGCGACAUGAUCCGAACUUGGUCUCUGAUAUCAAAUUGGUAGGACUAGGGUUCCUACCGGCUCUACUCCUUAGGUUAUAAGGGCAGAACAGCAGAGGUUGAAGGCGAGGACGCGAGCUCCGACGCGUCGGCGCCGUCGCGAGGAAGGAGGAGGGCGGCGGCGGUUAGGGCUGGAGGCGGCUAGGGUUCCAGCUCCUCUGGGAGCCGGGCAAUAGGGAUAGAAAAUAUCUUUAUUGCUUAAUUUUAAAAAGAGUUUUAUAGCUUAUAUUUAUGAGACAAUAUCAAGUGGAAACCACGUAUUCAGUGGAAUGCUGGAAGCCUCAGCCUAGCCCGUUGGAUGCUAUUUGUAUGGACCAGAUAGAAUCAUAACUGCUAUGCUCUAUUUGCACAAAAACGCCCGCAACCAGGGAUGCUAUUUUACGGGUACACCCUCAGGUCUAACAAGUAAUCACAGCGUACAUCCUUGCCCCUUAUUUCCACUUUUUUGUCAGCCAAGUAGGAUUUGUAAGCCAUGCGCUGUGCCUAUACUUCAGCACACAUACGUUUCGAUUUAAAUUGAAAAACUAGCUCAAUGGAUACCAAAACUGUACCAACAAAAUCACAUUUGGGAAACCAAAAGAACAGACAGUCAAUGCCCCAGAUCAGACAACAGAAAACUGAAGGAAGCUAAUUUUAAUAUAGUCUACUAGUAUCAGAAUUCACUUGCAGUAAUGGAUGCAUCGCUUCAACAACACAUACAUUAGUUAAGGCAAAUGUUCCAACCGCAUUAUGCUAGGGAAUUUUGUUACAAGAUAGACACAUCACUAACUGAACAGCCAUAGUAAAUCUCACACUUAUACAUCAAACAUUGAGCACACAACUCGAGUACACAACAACGGUCUUUUUUUUGGGUUGGAAUCUGCAUAGAUCUUUACUGCCACCAGCAAACCUGAAAAAUAAGAGUUGAACUUUUUUAUACAUAAUACACUAAAACGAGUUUAACAACAAUCUAUGCAAAUAGAUACAGUAGUGCAUGCCAUCUUUAUUAGCAAAAAAAGAACAUAAUUAUUUUUCAAACCAGCUCAUUUCUUAUUUCCCAUCGUACUACACAAAUAAUUAUGCAUACAACAAAAAGUUAAUUUGGAGGACGGGUGCAUUGAAGCCCGAUAUUUGGAAUAGUGUCAAAAUUCUAUUUUGAAGUUUCAAAAUGUUCUGAAAACAAAUCAACAUGGUUAUAUGGAUGUAUAUUACACAUGUGUAAAUUUUGAUGCUGAAAUAAGUAACCAUGUGAGUUACACAAAAAUGACAAAAUCGUUUUUUUUGGAAAGAUGAACUGAGCAUGCAUUAUUAACUAUUUGAAAAUCACCAUUUUGUCAUUUUUCUAUAGCUCACAGGUUUAUUUGUUUCGUCACCAAACUUUACACAACUGUAAUAUACAUCCAUAUGAUCACGUAGAAUUGUUUUCGAGUUUUUUUGGAACUUUAAAUGUGAUUUUAAAAGUAUUUAAAAUAAGGUCCUUGAAUAAUUAAUCUAGUAGCAAUGGCAAACACAUACAUUAAUCAAGGAUUUUUCUCUCACUCACUCACACUACUGGCACCACACACACAAUAAUUAAUCUACAAAAUUUGCAGCAGCGCGUAUAAGCCCUACACACCGCUCGAGUUUUCUCUUUGAUAACUUCCAUCUAAACACAAUUUUCAAUUCAGAUACGUAUCAUCAUCUAAAUUCCAUCUAGACAGUAGGGGUAGCAGUUUAUAGAUAAAUAACAAUUUUCAUAGACAGCAGAGCAUGCCAUGGUUACACAGAGCACACACGCCAGGCAGCAAGCCAGCAACACAUGAAUAGUCAUAGAUGUGUACUAUAACAGUAACACACAAUAAUUAUGAGCAAAUGAAUUAUACCUCGCAAUUUCUUCAAGACCAAAAUCUGGACAGUACGACUCAGGGGAAAUCAGCAGCUGUAGGCAAGAUGCCACUACCUCGUUUCCUCUACUUCCUUCAAAUGAUGUGCUGAUCUUGGAGGAGACAGCCCAAUGAGCCACGUCCUUGUCCCCUCCUCUGUUUGCUUGGCAAACCUAGCCCAAUCUAGAGAAGAGGGAACUACUAGAUGAGCCACGGGACAAAGAAGCACCGGGCCAAAGCACAGAAGACGAACACUACAGAUGGUCAUACCUUGGGAUUAGAUCUAGUAUGACAUCGAUGGGGAAUGCUCGGAGGACCGGCACUGUUGGCCGGAGACGAAUCAGAAGCGCCGCUCGCUGGCCCUGCCCGGAACGCCGCUCGCCGGCCCUGCCCGAAACGCUCGGAGACUCGCACGCUUGGCCGGACACAACCACCGGAGAGGAAUUAACCGCGCCGCUCGCCCCUCGCCCCUCGCCAGCCUAGCGCGGAACGAGGGGGUCCUGCCGGAGGGAAGCAUCAUCUCCCAACAGGUCUCCUAAGGGCAUCUACAAUGAUAGACGCUUGCAAAGACGCUAACAGUGAAAAGAAUAAAUACCGAAUUAAAAAAAAGUGCCUAAGCGCCCUACGUUACAACGGCAGGCGCUAACUACAUGCGUUAAAUUGAACUACCCGGGCGCUUCGCGUGGGAAGAAAAACAAGGAAGCGCCCGGCGCAUGGCCGUGCGUCGAUGCUACACAGAACGCUGGGAUUCCAGUGAUAACUGCCCAAUCAACCAGGAAUCUGAUCCUGGCGCCCAUGCUAAGCAUCGGGCGUUGUACAUGCCCUAA
rnacentral:lncRNA from 1 species